AUACUCAAUUUUGUAGCACAUGUACUAAAGUUGGAAUGAUACAAAGAUUAAUAUGGCCCUUAUACAAAAAUGACACAAAAAUUGACAAAGCAUUCCAUAUUUUG
rnacentral:snRNA from 1 species